rnacentral:rRNA from 1 species
CGCACGGGUGAGUAACACGUAUCCAACCUGCCGUCUACUCUUGGACAGCCUUCUGAAAGGAAGAUUAAUACAAAAUGGCAUCAUGAGUCCGCAUGUUCACAUGAUUAAAGGUAUUCCGGUAGACGAUGGGGAUGCGUUCCAUUAGAUAGUAGGCGGGGUAACGGCCCACCUAGUCUUCGAUGGAUAGGGGUUCUGAGAGGAAGGUCCCCCACAUUGGAACUGAGACACGGUCCAA